rnacentral:misc_RNA from 1 species
UCUUCGUAGGUGAACCUGCGAAGGGAUCAUUACUGAGAUAGGGUUCUUCCGAGCCCGACCUCCAACCCUUUUGUGAACCACCUCGUUGCUUCGGGGGCGACCCUGCCGUUCGCGGCGUGGGGCCCCCGGAGCCCAUCAAACCCUGCGUAACUAAGUCGUCGGAGUUUAAACAAAUUAAACAAAACUUUCAACAACGGAUCUCUUGGUUCGGGCAUCGAUGAAGAACGCAGC